rnacentral:rRNA from 1 species
AUUGAACGCUGGCGGCAGGCCUAACACAUGCAAGUCGAGCGGAUGAAGGUGGCUUGCUACCUGAUUCAGCGGCGGACGGGUGAGUAAUGCCUAGGAAUCUGCCUGGUAGUGGGGGACAACGUUUCGAAAGGAACGCUAAUACCGCAUACGUCCUACGGGAGAAAGUGGGGGAUCUUCGGACCUCACGCUAUCAGAUGAGCCUAGGUACGAUUAGCUAGUUGGUGAGGUAAAGGCUCACCAAGGCGACGAUCGUUAACUGGUCUGAGAGGAUGAUCAGUCACACUGGAACUGAGACACGGUCCAGAAUCAUACGGGAGGCAGCAGUGGGGAAUAUUGGACAAUGGGCGAAAGCCUGAUCCAGCCAUGCCGCGUGUGUGAAGAAGGUCUUCGGAUUGUAAAGCACUUUAAGUUGGGAGGAAGGGCAGUAAGUUAAUACCUUGCUGUUUUGACGUUACCGACAGAAUAAGCACCGGCUAACUUCGUGCCAGCCGCCGCGGUAAAAC